rnacentral:rRNA from 1 species
UACGUAGGGGGCUAGCGUUGUCCGGAAUCAUUGGGCGUAAAGCGCGUGUAGGCGGCCCGGUAAGUCCGCUGUGAAAGUCCAGGCUCAACCCUGGGAUGCCGGUGGAUACUGUCGGGCUCGAGUCCGGAAGAGGCGAGUGGAAUUCCUGGUGUAGCGGUGAAAUGCGCAGAUAUCAGGAGGAACACCAAUGGCGAAGGCAGCUCGCUGGGACGUGACUGACGCUGAGACGCGAAAGCGUGGGGAGCAAACAGG